rnacentral:rRNA from 1 species
UACGUAGGGUGCGAGCGUUGUCCGGAAUUAUUGGGCGUAAAGCGUGCGCAGGCGGUUAUGCAAGACAGAUGUGAAAUCCCCGGGCUUAACCUGGGAACCGCAUUUGUGACUGCAUAGCUGGAGUACGGCAGAGGGGGAUGGAAUUCCGCGUGUAGCAGUGAAAUGCGUAGAUAUGCGGAGGAACACCGAUGGCGAAGGCAGUCCCCUGGGCCUGUACUGACGCUCAUGCACGAAAGCGUGGGGAGCAAACAGG